rnacentral:pre_miRNA from 1 species
GAGCUACUCCCUCCGUUCGGAAUUACUCGUCCAAUAAAUGAAUGUAUCUAGAUGUAUUUUAGUUGUAGAUACAUCCAUUUUUGUGACAAGUAAUUCCGAACGGAGGGAGUACAUA